rnacentral:rRNA from 1 species
CCAGACCACCAGUUAAGGUCCCCAAAUAUAUGUUAAGUGGAAAAGGAUGUGGGGUUGCUUAGACAACCAGGAUGUUGGCUUAGAAGCAGCCACCAUUGAAAGAGUGCGUAAUAGCUCACUGGUCGAGUGACCCCGCGCCGAAAAUGUACCGGGGCUAAACAUAUUACCGAAACUGUGGAUGAACCUCUUUAGAGGUUCGUGGUAGGAGAGCGUUCUAAGGGCGGUGAAGUCAGACCGGAAGGACUGGUGGAGCGCUUAGAAGUGAGAAUGCCGGUAUGAGUAGCGAAAGAAGGGUGAGAAUCCCUUCCACCGAAUAUCUAAGGUUUCCUGAGGAAGGCUCGUCCGCUC